UACGGAGGAUCCAAGCGUUAUCCGGAAUCAUUGGGUUUAAAGGGUCCAUAGGCGGUUUUGUAAAUCAGUGGGGAAAGCCCAUCGCUCAACGGUGGAACGGCCAUUGAUACUGCAAGACUUGAAUUAUUGGGAAGUAACUAGAAUAUGUAGUGUAGCGGUGAAAUGCUUAGAGAUUACAUGGAAUACCAAUUGCGAAGGCAGGUUACUACCAAUAUAUUGACGCUGAUGGACGAAAGCGUGGGGAGCGAACAGG
rnacentral:rRNA from 1 species